AUUGAACGCUAGCGGGAUGCUUUACACAUGCAAGUCGAACGAGUGGCGGACGGGUGAGUAAUAUAUCGGAACGUGCCCAGUAGCGGGGGAUAACUACUCGACAGAGUGGCUAAUACCGCCUACUAUUGGAGCGGCAGAUAACGGAUUAGCUAUUUGGUGGGGUACAGGCUCACCAAGGCAACGAUCCGUAGCUGGUUUGAGAGGACGACCAGCCACACUGGGACUGAGACACAGACCAGACUCCUACGGGAGGCAGCAGGGGGGAAUUGUGGACAAGGGGGGAAAACCUGAGCCAGCCAGCCCGCGUGUAGGAGAAGGCCUUAGGGUUGGAAAGUACUUUUGGCAGAGAAGCGGUAUCUGCAGAAUAGGCACCGGCUAACGACGUGCCAGCAGCCGCGGUAAUAC
rnacentral:rRNA from 1 species